GACGAGCUCUCCAAACGUUAUUCGGUAUUACUGGGCUUAAAGAGUUCGUAGGCGGCUAGAUAGGUCAGGUGUGAAAUCCCACAGCUUAACUGUGGAACUGCGCUUGAAACCAUCUGGCUUGAGGGAUGCAGGGGUAAGCGGAACAGAUGGUGGAGCGGUGAAAUGCGUUGAUAUUAUCUGGAACACCGGUGGCGAAAGCGGCUUACUGGGCAUUUUCUGACGCUGAGGAACGAAAGCUAGGGGAGCGAACGGG
rnacentral:rRNA from 1 species